GACGAACGCCGGCGGCGUGCCUAACGCAUGCAAGUCGAACGAAGUAUAUUUUUCGGAAUAUACUUAGUAGCGGACGGGUUCGUAACGCGUGAACAAUCUGCCCUAUACAAAGGAAGAGCCUCGGGAAACGGGGAUUAAAACCAUAUAACAUUAUUCGGUCGCAUGACUAAGAAGUCAAAGUAAUUAAGAGGUAUCGGAUGAGUUCGCGUCGGAUUAGCUAGUCGGUGAGGUAAUGGCUCACCAAGGCGACGAUCAGUAGCCGGACGGAGAGGGUGAACGGCCAAAGUGGAACUGAGACACGGUCCAGACUCGUACGGGAGGCAGCAGUGGGGAAUAUUGCGCAAUGGGCGAAAGCGUGAUGCAGCGACGCCGCGUGAGGGAAGAAGGUAUUCGGAUCGUAAACUUCUGUCGGUGCGGAAGAUAAUGACGGUACCCAAGGAGGAAGCCCCGGCUAACUACGUGCCAGCCGCCGCAGUAAAAC
rnacentral:rRNA from 1 species